rnacentral:rRNA from 1 species
CAGUCGCCGCGGUAAAACGGAGGGUGCAAGCGUUAUCCGGAUUUAUUGGGUUUAAAGGGUCCGUAGGCGGAUCUGUAAGUCAGUGGUGAAAUCUCACAGCUUAACUGUGAAACUGCCAUUGAUACUGCAGGUCUUGAGUAAAUUUGAAGUGGCUGGAAUAAGUAGUGUAGCGGUGAAAUGCAUAGAUAUUACUUAGAACACCAAUUGCGAAGGCAGGUCACUAAGAUUUAACUGACGCUGAUGGACGAAAGCGUGGGGAGCGAACAGGAUUAGAUACCCCUGUAGUCCCUGUCUCUUAUAC